rnacentral:rRNA from 1 species
UACGUAGGAUGCAAGCGUUGUCCGGAAUUAUUGGGCGUAAAGAGCGAGCAGGCGGUUUGGAAAGUUGGACGUGAAAUUUUAGGGCUUAACCCUAAAGGGUCGUCCAAAACUCCCAGAUUAGAGUGCAGGAGAGGAAAGCGGAAUUCCCGGUGUAGUGGUGAAAUGCGCAGAUAUCAGGAGGAACACCGGUGGCGAAGGCGGGUCUCUGGGCCGAUACUGACGCUGAGGAGCGAAAGCGUGGGGAGCGAACAGG